GUUUGCAUUGGCAGCACAUAAACUAAAAUUGGAAAGAUACAGAGAAGAUCAUCACUGUUCAAAGAUGAUGCACAAUUUUGUAAAGCAUCCCAUAUUAAA
ensembl:snRNA U6 U6 spliceosomal RNA